CCUUUUGUAUAAUGGGUCAGCGAGUUACGUUUCUGUUGCGAGCUUAACCGAGUAGGGAAGGCGUAGAGAAAUCGAGUCUGAAUAGGGCGUCUAGUAGCAGGAAGUAGACCCGAAACCCGGCGAUCUAUCCAUGGGCAGGUUGAAGGUGAGGUAAUACUUACUGGAGGACCGAACCCACUGAUGUUGAAAAAUCAGGGGAUGACCUGUGGAUCGGAGUGAAAGGCUAAU
rnacentral:rRNA from 14 species